UACGUAGGGUGCGAGCGUUAAUCGGAAUUACUGGGCGUAAAGCGUGCGCAGGCGGUUCGCUAAGACAGAUGUGAAAUCCCCGGGCUCAACCUGGGAACUGCGUUUGUGACUGGCGGGCUGGAGUGCGGAAGAGGGAGGUGGAAUUCCACGUGUAGCAGUGAAAUGCGUAGAGAUGUGGAGGAACACCGAUGGCGAAGGCAGCCUCCUGGUCUAGCACUGACGCUCAUGCACGAAAGCGUGGGGAGCAAACAGG
rnacentral:rRNA from 1 species